AGAGUGAACGCUGGCGGUAGGCCUAACACAUGCAAGUCGAACGGCAGCACAGUGGUAGCAAUACCAUGGGUGGCGAGUGGCGGACGGGUGAGGAAUACAUCGGAAUCUACCUUUUCGUGGGGGAUAACGUAGGGAAACUUACGCUAAUACCGCAUACGCCCUUCGGGGGAAAGCCGGGGAUCGCAAGACCUGGCGCGGAUAGAUGAGCCGAUGUCGGAUUAGCUAGUUGGUGAGGUAAUGGCUCACCAAGGCGACGAUCCGUAGCUGGUCUGAGAGGAUGAUCAGCCACACUGGAACUGAGACACGGUCCAGACUCCUACGGGAGCAGCAGUGGGAAUAUUGGACAAGUGGGCGCAAGCCUGAUCCAGUCCAACUACCGCGUGGGUGAAAGAAGGCCUUGGUUAGUAAGCCUUUGUAGGAAAGAAAGUACAAGUACGUUAAUACCGGCU
rnacentral:rRNA from 1 species